GCCUGGGUAGCUCAGUCGGUUAAGCGUCUGACUUCGGCUCAGGUCAUGAUCUCACAGUUUGUGGGUUUGAGCCCCACGUCGGGCU
rnacentral:tRNA from 1 species